CCUACGGGUGGCAGCAGUGGGGGAUAUUGCACAAUGGGGGGAACCCUGAUGCAGCGACGCCGCGUGGGUGAAGGAGUGCUUCGGCAUGUAAAGCCCUAUCGGCAGGGAAGAAGCAAGACGGUACCUGACUAAGAAGCCCCGGCUAACUACGUGCCAGCAGCCGCGGUAAUACGUAGGGGGCGAGCGUUAUCCGGAUUCACUGGGUGUAAAGGGAGCGUAGACGGCCAUGCAAGCCAGGGGUGAAAGCCCGGGGCCCAACCCCCGGACUGCUUUGGAAACUGUAUGGCUGGAGUGCAGGAGAGGUAAGUGGAAUUCCUAGUGUAGCGGUGAAAUGCGUAGAUAUUAGGAGGAACACCAGUGGCGAAGGCGGCUUACUGGACUGUAACUGACGUUGAGGCUCGAAAGCGUGGGGAGCAAACAGGAUUAGAUACCCGAGUAGUC
rnacentral:rRNA from 1 species